CGGCAUCUGCCAUUUGUCAUUCAGCCGCGGGCCCGCCCCCCGGCCUGGAUUUAGGCGCGCGUCGGGGCGUCCGGCCUCCCUCUCCGCGACGGACGGACGGUCGGACGGGCCGGGGCGCUCGCUCGGGCCGUCAUGGCUGCGCGGAGGACGCGCCCGGCCGGCCUCGCCUGAGCCGGCUCCGCCGCGGGGUAGGUGCCGCUGGCGGUGCCGGGGGGGCGGCCCGGCCUACUCCUCCUCCUGCUCCGCGCCUCACCGCGGGCUCGCGCGCGGCCAGUGUGCGCGAGCCGGCAGGGCCCGAAGCGGCCGAGGCCCGGGCGCCGGGGCAGCGUCGGAGCGGGCGGGACGGGCCGCUCGGCGGCGCGCGCAUCCAUCUUGGGACGCGGCGGCGGGACUGCGCCGCCCGGACGCGGACGCUCGCACUCCUGCGAGUGAAAGCGCGGACCCGGAGGUCGGGUCGGGGCAGCGGAACUACAAGUUCAUUAAGACAGAAACUUCUGCCUCCUGAGGUACCAGAGGCAAAUGUUUUACUAAAUACGUGACCACUGUAUAGAAUACAACAUCAUCUUCCGAGAAGAUGAGUUUCUUCACCACUUCCUGACCACUAAACCAAGGUUAUGUAUAUUAGGGUUUUGCUAAAGCAAAGUCCUACUUUGGGUACCAAUUUUUAGUCAGGAUGGACUAAUGUUAUGCUGUGCUAACAAGCCAUCCCCAAACCUCAAGGGCUUUACUCUAAAAGUUUAUCUUUUGCUCAUACUAAAUAUCCACUGUGGGUUUGCAAGAGGCACUGCCCCACAUACUCAAGCCUUUGGAUGUGCUGCCAUCUUGUAGUCAAAUAAGAUAAUUGUUAUUUGAGACUUAGCUGUCUUGGUUGCUAUCACAGGGGAAGAGAAUGUGAAUGGUCUUUGUCUUAGUCACUUUCUCAUCACUGAAACAAAAUGCCCAACACCCGCAAGUCAAAGGAGAGGUUUGUUUUGUUUCACAGUCUGUAGAG
ensembl:lncRNA